GGAGCAGAAAACAAACCCACUAGCAGGACCAAAAGGCAGACCCAUCAGCAGAACACAGGCGGCAGCUUCCACAAGUAACUCCAAAACUGAAAGUCAAAUCCAGGAGAAGACUGAGGAAGCUCCAUUUUCUUUGAGGUACAUCAACAUCAAUAACAGAUCAAUGGACCCACUUAAUGGAGCUCUUAAUUGAGUAGAAAAAAAUAUUUAAGAGUUUUGCCGCUCUACGGCAGGAAAGCUAAUUUUCCUAAACUGAAAUAUCCUUCACUUCCCUUGGGGAAAAAUUUUCAUGAGGACUAAGGUAAUGGGAAAACCUGUUGCUUAGAACUUUUAACUUGGCCUUGAAGAUGGAAACUCAUCCAGGAUGGAGAAUAAUGUAGGGAGACUAGUUAAAAAUAGACAUGGACCAGUUUACUUUCCUGCUUAUUUACAAGAUGCCUUAUUUAAAUGACACUUUGAUCCAACAUCUUACUAAACAAGUGACAACAGGAAAAAAUAAGAGGCAGUUGGUGCACCUGGAGAUGUGAUAUUGAGCCCAGUCAGGAGGCCUGAGGUUCUAAUAAAAUUUCCUUAGAUAAAA
ensembl:lncRNA novel transcript, antisense to GNAS